AAUCGAAACACUCUCGAAUGGGAGUGUCGCACAGAGAUGACCACCUGUGCCUGAUGAUGAUAGGUCAAU
rnacentral:hammerhead_ribozyme from 1 species